GCAGAUUCCGCGCAGGCGCAGUACUUGGAUGAGGAAGCGGCCCGGUUCUCGGAGACCCCAGUAAGGGGCGAACCUUCACGCUACUGGCCGUUCUGGCUUCUCAGCGCUUUGCUCUUCCCCAAGAAAGAAGAAUUUCCCAGGAAAAAAGGGAAUGACUUCUGUGCUCCUACCAGCCAGAUCUCAGGUACCACUGACAUUCCAAGAUGUGGCUGUGGACUUCACCUGGGAGGAA